CCUACGGGGGGCUGCAGUGGGGAAUAUUGGACAAUGGGGGGAACCCUGAUCCAGCCAUGCCGCGUGUGUGAAUAAGGCCCUCGGGUUGUAAAGCACUUUCAGUGAGGAAGAACGCCUGGUGGUUAAUACCCAUCAGGAAAGACAUCACUCACAGAAGAAGCACCGGCUAACUCCGUGCCAGCAGCCGCGGUAAUACGGAGGGUGCGAGCGUUAAUCGGAAUUACUGGGCGUAAAGCGCGCGUAGGUGGCUUGAUAAGCCGGUUGUGAAAGCCCCGGGCUCAACCUGGGAACGGCAUCCGGAACUGUCAAGCUAGAGUGCAGGAGAGGAAGGUAGAAUUCCCGGUGUAGCGGUGAAAUGCGUAGAGAUCGGGAGGAAUACCAGUGGCGAAGGCGGCCUUCUGGACUGACACUGACACUGAGGUGCGAAAGCGUGGGUAGCAAACAGGAUUAGAUACCCUAGUAGUC
rnacentral:rRNA from 1 species